UACGGAAGGCAGCAGUGGGGAAUAUUGCACAAUGGGCGCAAGCCUGAUGCAGCCAUGCCGCGUGUAUGAAGAAGGCCUUCGGGUUGUAAAGUACUUUCAGUCGUGAGGAAGGUGUUAAGGUUAAUAACCUUAGCAAUUGACGUUAGCGACAGAAGAAGCACCGGCUAACUCCGUGCCAGCAGCCGCGGUAAUACGGAGGGUGCGAGCGUUAAUCGGAAUUACUGGGCGUAAAGGGCACGCAGGCGGUUAAUUAAGUUGGAUGUGAAAUCCCCGGGCUUAACCUGGGAAUGGCAUUCAAGACUGGUUAGCUAGAGUCUUGUAGAGGGGGUAGAAUUCCAUGUGUAGCGGUGAAAUGCGUAGAGAUGUGGAGGAAUACCGGGUGGCGAAGGCGGCCCCUGGGACAAGGACUGACGCUCAUGUGCGAAAGCGUGGGGAGCAAACGAGGAUUAGAUACC
rnacentral:rRNA from 1 species